GACGAACCGUGCGAACGUUAUUCGGAAUCACUGGGCUUAAAGCGUGUGUAGGCGGAUUUGUAAGUACCUUGUGAAAUCCCACGGCUUAACCGUGGAACUGCUUGGUAUACUGCUUAUCUUGAGCCACUUAGGGGCAACCGGAACAAACGGUGGAGCGGUGAAAUGCGUAGAUAUCGUUUGGAACGCCAAUGGUGAAAACAGGUUGCUGGGAGUGUGCUGACGCUGAGACACGAAAGCCAGGGGAGCGAACGGG
rnacentral:rRNA from 1 species